rnacentral:sRNA from 1 species
CAGUUGUGCGAAACAAAGCGAAACAGUUUUUGCUGCUUAAUUGAAAAAUAUAAAUUGUUGCCGCAUGUAUAACGAGUAUGUGUAUGUGUGUCUGCCUCUGCAUGUGUGUGUGUGUGUGUGUGUGUGUGUGUGGGGCGGAAGUUAAGUCAAAAGCAGAAGAAGAACAUUAAUAACACUGC